UUCUGUACUGUCUGCACACGCAGUGUCGGAUUUCAGCCGCGCGAGUCGUGCGCGAGUAAUUAGAAUGCGCGUGAACGCAGCAUUUUAAACUUCAACCGUUACGGACGUCCGUUUGAGCUCAGCGCUCGAGAGGACGACGAUUAAAUUGAAUCAAAAAGAAGAAAUGUGGUUUACGGUGCUGUCCGGGCCUGCGCUAUUCUCCGCCAGGAGAAAACGCACAAGAAAACGAUGUUUCAGGAGCAGUCAAAUCACGUGAUCACUGUACACCCAGACUGUUAUAAACAUGAAUUCAAGAGAAACCACGAAGAACAAAGAGAGGAGGUGAUGAAGAUGCUUCUUCUGUGGAUAUAGCUAUGCAUUAUGAAAUGAAGAUGAAGAAAAGACCUUCAACUGCAAACCAAUGACACAAAAAUGGAUGGACUCUGGAGUGCAGCAUUACUUCAAUAAGAUGAAAAUAACACACCUGUAUGAUUCAAAACUCUAAAGGGUUCUUUUGAUUGAACCCUUAAAAAGGGUUCUGUAUAGAACCUUUUAGGGGUUCCAAAUACGUAGCGCCUGAUAGAACCUUUUAAGGUUCUAUAUAGAACCUUUUCUUCUAAGAGUGUAGGAUCAUCACCUGACCUGGGACUUGAUGCUUAUCUCCUGCUCCCUGAUUACUGCUUAAUCAGAUUUCAGAGAACCCAAAGGAAAAGAGGCAGUUGUCUGAUGCAAGCCAGGUUUUGAAAACUUUGGACCACUUGUAGUCAUGAUGACACGAGACUUCUGAAAGUAGUGUUAUUUUUAAAGGUUGAAAUACUUUUGUCCUUUUUGCCCCACUCUUAAAGAAUUAAAUUUUCUAUCUCUUUGUCAUCGAGUGUGUUAAACUCAAAUAAAUAAAAAAAAAAAAACUGACUCAAUUGCUGGAAAGGUGUCAUUUAUGUUUUAAAAGGUUUUCCCUAAACUUUGAAAUGGUCAGAAAUUUUUUGACGUACCACUGAAGUGUAGCUGAAAUAUUAAUGUUGUUCAGAACAUUGUUUUAUGUUGACAUUUCAGUUCAAUCAACAUCACAUUAACAUUGAUCAAACAAUAUUACAAAUUAUUAUUGUUAAUUUCAAUAUUGAUUCAACAGCAGUGAUGUAGAAUCAACAUAACAUUGAUUCAACAAUAUUACCAUUGAUUAUUUUUGUAAAUUUCAAUGUUGCCUCAACAUCAGUGAUGUAGUAUCAAUCUUAGUGUAAUGUUGAUUCAACAAUAAUACCAUUGAUAAUUUUUUGUUAAUGUCAAUAUUGAUUCAAUAUCAGUGAUGUAGAAUCAAUCAUAGUGUAAUGUUGAUUCAAUAGCAUUACCGUUGAUUUUUUUGUUCACCAUUGUUUCAACAUUAAAUGCGGGUGCAAACGUUAAAUUGAACCAACAUCACCUCAUAAUGUUGAUUCAAUGAUGUUAUAAUUGAUUUAUUGUUGAAAUCUCAACAUAGUUUCAGCAUUAACUGAGGGUGCAAAAGUGAUGUUGAAAAAAAUCACUUUAUAAUGUUGAAUCAAUAAUAUUACUAUUGAUUUGUGGUUGAAAUUGCAACAUUGCUUCAACAUAAACUAAGGGUGCAAGAGUGAUGUGGGAAAAAUAUCACUUUAUAAUGUUGAAUCAAUGCUAUUACCGUUGAUUUAUGGUUGAAAUCUCAACAUUAUUUCAACAGUGCCAAAGACGUGUUGACAAAAUAUCACUUUGUAAUGUUUAAUCAAUAUUAUUACCAUUGAUUUGUGGUUAAAAUAUCAGUAUUGCUUCAACAUUAACUGAGGGUUCAAGAGUGAUGCUAAAGCAACAUCACUUUGUAACGUUAAUUCAAUGUAAUUGGCGGUGACGUCAACACUGACUCAACAUUGUUUCAAUGUGACCAUGCUAUCUGGGGUGUUAAUAAUGUGUGGCAUCUGUGCAAAGAUUUGUGCAUUAUUGUGUUAUUACUUCUUCACAUAAUAACCUAGAAUACUGUCUAACACUUGAUGGCUGCUCUGUUAAGUC